AGAGUAUGUGUACUUGCAGAAAAAAGCUGCUAACUUUUAUUCUAAGCGGUUUAAUUCCGUUUAUACUCUU
rnacentral:tRNA from 1 species